rnacentral:rRNA from 1 species
UACGUAGGGGGCUAGCGUUGUCCGGAAUCAUUGGGCGUAAAGAGCGUGUAGGCGGCCCGGUAAGUCCGCUGUAAAAGUCAAAGGCUCAACCUUUGAAUGUCAGUGGAUACUGCCGGGCUAGAGUCCGGAAGAGGCGAGUGGAACUCCUGGUGUAGCGGUGGAAUGCGCAGAUAUCAGGAAGAACACCUAUGGCGAAGGCAGCUCUCUGGGGACGGUACUGACGCUGAGACGCGAAAAGCGUGGGGGAGCGAACAGG